rnacentral:rRNA from 1 species
GAUGAACGCUGGCGGCGUGCCUAAUACAUGCAAGUCGAGCGAACGGACGAGAAGCUUGCUUCUCUGAUGUUAGCGGCGGACGGGUGAGUAACACGUGGAUAACCUACCUAUAAGACUGGGAUAACUUCGGGAAACCGGAGCUAAUACCGGAUAAUAUUUUGAACCGCAUGGUUCAAAAGUGAAAGACGGUCUUGCUGUCACUUAUAGAUGGAUCCGCGCUGCAUUAGCUAGUUGGUAAGGUAACGGCUUACCAAGGCAACGAUGCAUAGCCGACCUGAGAGGGUGAUCGGCCACACUGGAACUGAGACACGGUCCAGACUCCUACGGGAGGCAGCAGUAGGGAAUCUUCCGCAAUGGGCGAAAGCCUGACGGAGCAACGCCGCGUGAGUGAUGAAGGUCUUCGGAUCGUAAAACUCUGUUAUUAGGGAAGAACAUAUGUGUAAGUAACUGUGCACAUCUUGACGGUACCUAAUCAGAAAGCCACGGCUAACUACGUGCCAGCAGCCGCGGUAAUACGUAGGUGGCAAGCGUUAUCCGGAAUUAUUGGGCGUAAAGCGCGCGUAGGCGGUUUUUUAAGUCUGAUGUGAAAGCCCACGGCUCAACCGUGGAGGGUCAUUGGAAACUGGAAAACUUGAGUGCAGAAGAGGAAAGUGGAAUUCCAUGUGUAGCGGUGAAAUGCGCAGAGAUAUGGAGGAACACCAGUGGCGAAGGCGACUUUCUGGUCUGUAACUGACGCUGAUGUGCGAAAGCGUGGGGAUCAAACAGGAUUAGAUACCCUGGUAGUCCACGCCGUAAACGAUGAGUGCUAAGUGUUAGGGGGUUUCCGCCCCUUAGUGCUGCAGCUAACGCAUUAAGCACUCCGCCUGGGGAGUACGACCGCAAGGUUGAAACUCAAAGGAAUUGACGGGGACCCGCACGAGCGGUGGAGCAUGUGGUUUAAUUCGAAGCAACGCGAAGAACCUUACCAAAUCUUGACAUCCUUUGACAACUCUAGAGAUAGAGCCUUCCCCUUCGGGGGGCAAAGUGACAGGUGGUGCAUGGUUGUCGUCAGCUCGUGUCGUGAGAUGUUGGGUUAAGUCCCGCAACGAGCGCAACCCUUAAGCUUAGUUGCCAUCAUUAAGUUGGGCACUCUAAGUUGACUGCCGGUGACAAACCGGAGGAAGGUGGGGAUGACGUCAAAUCAUCAUGCCCCUUAUGAUUUGGGCUACACACGUGCUACAAUGGACAAUACAAAGGGCAGCGAAACCGCGAGGUCAAGCAAAUCCCAUAAAGUUGUUCUCAGUUCGGAUUGUAGUCUGCAACUCGACUACAUGAAGCUGGAAUCGCUAGUAAUCGUAGAUCAGCAUGCUACGGUGAAUACGUUCCCGGGUCU